AUUAAAUUGGAUAUUUAGCCCGGUAGGUGCGUUUUAUACCCAUCUCCUCUAUAACAUACGCACCAACUGAAUCAACAUACAUCGACUAGCACAUUCAUCCGAAUAUUUGGAUACUAAAAGAAUGUCUGUCAACGCUGUACGGAAAAAAACUCAUCACGCAAAACCAUCAUCUCUUGGUAGAAUGAGCGCUGUUCGUGGAGAAAUUUUUUUUCUAUCAAGGCAAUUCGUUCAAGUCGAUGUAUACAAUGGGAAUAAUUGUUUUGCGUGAGCUACGCAGUCGAUCGACAACAAGAAAAAAAUGGAUAACAGUAUUGGGGCGAUGAGUCAUCCCGCCAAAUAUUCAAUCAUACAAAAACAUAUUCAAAAGCAUUGAGUGUUACUUGGCCAGUGCACUCGAGUGAAAUGUCCGAAAAUAGACCGUCCCAACCAUCGCCGUGUAUGAUUGGACCUGACGCUUUGCCUCCUCGGGAUGGAGCAGCCGAACCACCACCAGCACGACCGGAGACAGCGGAUGCAGGACCAGUACCACCGCCGCCAGUCCCGUGUUUGGUCGGACCAAUGGCUCUUCCACCGGAACUCAGAAAUGAUCCAAACGUGACCGGUAGUAGUAAAUAAUGCAUAUACAUAUGGAAACUACCGGGAUACCAGAAAACAUCAUAAUAAAUGAAAAUAAAUGUCCAAACUUCGAAACGAUUAUUUCCUUAA